rnacentral:rRNA from 1 species
CACGUAGGGGGCGAGCGUUGUCCGGAUUUAUUGGGCGUAAAGAGCUCGUAGGCGGCUCAGUAAGUCAGGUGUGAAAACUCCAGGCUCAACCUGGAGACGCCACCUGAUACUGCUGUGGCUAGAGUCCGGUAGGGGAGCAUGGAAUUCCUGGUGUAGCGGUGAAAUGCGCAGAUAUCAGGAGGAACACCAGUGGCGAAGGCGGUGCUCUGGGCCGGAACUGACGCUGGAGGAGCGAAAGCGUGGGAGCAAACAGG